UCCACAAACCCUGGGGCAGCCGGUCCCGGUGCUGGAGGAGAGGCCUUGAUCCACAAACCCUGGGGCAGCCGGUCCCGGUGCUGGAGGAGAGGCUUUGAUCCACAAACCCUGGGACAGUGAUCCCGGUGCUGGAGGAGAGGCCUUGAUCCACAAACCCUGUUGCAGCUGGUCCCCGUGCCCCUAUCACCAAGGAAACACCAACAUGGAAUGGCAGAAAUGAGCAAAGAUCCCGGGCUGGUGGAUGAAACUCCGGAUCUGUGGCUGGAACCGUGGGACAUCCUUUAAUCGUUUUUUUUUUUGACAGAAAAGGGGGAGGUAUCAUGUUGCACUAGUUUAUUUAGUUGUUGUUUUGCACUGGGUGAUUGGGAAUUUGCACAGAAUAGUUUUAUAUUGCACUGGAUAGCUUAUGUUAUAUCAAGCGGUUUGUUAUCCCUUGACAACUUUAUUGUAGAUCAGGUGUUGGCAUGCCUCACCCCCUAAGCCACAAGCUUUUCCAUUCCCCACUGCCCCAGACUGCUGUUGGAUGCUACAAAGUACCGAUAAUUGAUUACAGUCAGUGUGGAUAUCAACACUACAGGCAGCUUGAGGGUCAAAGUCACCUUCUGACAUCGAUCUCUCCAAAUAAUGGGCAGUACUUUUCUGGACAAAAUGAGCUUGAUGAGUAUGAUGUGAUGUCAGAGACUGAAAUGGUUCAUGCUUUAAAAAUUGUUGUGAAGGAGUUUUGCCCAUUGUAGGAAGAUCUGUAUAAAGAAGCUACAACCACAGAAGCCCACCCCUCUUUGAAAAUUCCUGACUGGAACCUUGGACUGUGAGUUGAGCCACACAGAUAAAUAAGGGGACACCACCGUUCAGUCACUGAGGCUGAGGGAGAAGAAGGCAUCUGCAAGAAAGCCAAAACCAGUUCCACUGAGAACCAUCCCUGGCUGUUUUUGGGGUGGGGGAGACCACAGCCCACGGAGGCCAGGUUUGCACAGACUCCCCACAACCAAGGGCUGAGAAGGAGGUUUCAGAUGUGUGGUGUAACCUCUGAUGGGGUGAACACCCAUCCUCCCUUACACAAAUGAGCCCAGCUGUGAAACCCCCAACCCCAGAGGCCACAUCCAUGGGAGAUUCAUAUGGGAAGCAGCUGAGGGAAUCAUAAUCCAUCAAAAAUCACCAAAAUGCUCCCCAGACUUAUUUCCGAGCCCUUUCACCACAGCAUUGCAUGUGAUACAAAGAGAUG